rnacentral:rRNA from 1 species
UGGGGAAUAUUGCACAAUGGGCGCAAGCCUGAUGCAGCCAUGCCGCGUGUGUGAAGAAGGCCUUCGGGUUGUAAAGCACUUUCAGCGGGGAGGAAGGCGGUGAGGUUAAUAACCUCAUCGAUUGACGUUACCCGCAGAAGAAGCACCGGCUAACUCCGUGCCAGCAGCCGCGGUAAUACGGAGGGUGCAAGCGUUAAUCGGAAUUACUGGGCGUAAAGCGCACGCAGGCGGUCUGUCAAGUCGGAUGUGAAAUCCCCGGGCUCAACCUGGGAACUGCAUUCGAAACUGGAAGGCUAGAGUGUUGUAGAGGGGGGUGGAAUUCCAGGUGUAGCGGUGAAAUGCGUAGAGAUCUGGAGGAAUACCGGUGGCGAAGGCGGCCCCCUGGGCAAGGACUGACGCUCAGGUGCGAAAGCGUGGGGAGCAAACAGG